ACAAGCGGUGGAGUAUGUGGUUUAAUUCGAUGCAACGCGAAGAACCUUACCUGGUCUUGACAUCCCGGAGACCCUUAGGAAACUAGGGGUGCUUCCAUCUGGAAGAAUCUGGAGACAGGUGCUGCAUGGCUGUCGUCAGCUCGUGUCGUGAGAUGUUGGGUUAAGUCCCGUAACGAGCGCAACCCUUGUCCUUAGUUACCAGCACGUUAUGGUGGGCACUCUAAGGAGACUGCCGGUGACAAACCGGAGGAAGGUGGGGAUGACGUCAAGUCCUCAUGGCCUUUAUGACCAGGGCUACACACGUACUACAAUGGCCGAUACAAAGGGCAGCGACACUGCGAGGUGAAGCCAAUCCCGUAAAAUCGGUCUCAGUCCGGAUUGGAGUCUGCAACUCGACUCCAUGAAGUUGGAGUCGCUAGUAAUCGUGGAUCAGCAUGCCACGGUGAAUACGUUCCCGGGCCUU
rnacentral:rRNA from 1 species